UCCGUCUCAAAAAAAAAAGAAAAAAUUGGAAUGAUACAGAGAAGAUUGGCAUGGUCCCUGUGUAAGGAUGACAUGCAAAUUUGUAAAGUGUUCCAUAAAAAA
rnacentral:snRNA from 2 species